CUUAAGUACAAAGGGGUUUGUGUUUUUUCUUCUCUAUACAAACCCCCUUUUCUCCAUUUUCAACACAACAAGUUCUGCUAAUUACUCUUUUUCAGUACAAAUCAAAGAUUAAGGAGAAUCUUAUAACACUGCAACUCCUUUUAGGUUAGUCUGAAGUUCUCACAGACGGAUGUCUGAUUGUACUUGACAGAGCUAUAAAGGCGAAGUUAAGAGUGCUAAUGGGGGCCAAGCGCACAAGAUCACAGGGUGAAAGUGACGACAGGAAAAAGUUCUCUAUUCCACCCGGUUAUGAAUCGUUAACGUCCUUCACACUAAAGAUGGUUGAAAAUAGUCAGGAAGGUCCUAGCCAGGUUGCUUCUACUUCAACAAUUAUUAGCACAGGAAAGCUUAAGAGUUCUGUUAGGCGUAGGCCUUGGAUACUUGAUGAUCAUGUUGAUCACAUGGAAGAGGAUCCUGAAUGUGAAGCUGAUAAGAGUUCGUCUUCACGUGCUUGUCUUCCCAAAGGAGUGAUCCGAGGAUGUUACCGUGGUCACAACUGCGAGAAGGUUGUUGCAAGAUGUCGUCCGGAAUUAGCACGGAUCCCUUCACUUGAUGAGGCUCCUGUAUUCCAUCCCACUAAAGAGGAGUUUGAAGAUACCCUCAAGUAUGUCGCAAGCAUCCUUCCACAUGUCAAGCACUACGGAAUAUGCCGUAUUGUUCCUCCUGCUUCCUGGACCCCACCUUGCCGCAUUGAAGAAGAGGCCACGAGGUAUGGAGUCGACACCCGUAUCCAGCGCAUUAGUGACCUCCAGAGUGUGUUUUUCAAGAAAAUGAAGACGAAUAAUAGACAGCAAAAAAUCCUAAGCAUGGAACUUAAAGAAUUUGGUAGCUGUAAUGAACACUUUGAACUUGAAAGUGGGCCCAAGUUUAAGCUGAAAUCUUUCAAGAAUUACGCUAAUUAUUUCAAGAGGCAGUACUUUGUCAAGAAUUCCCCAUCUAUUCCUGAUAUUGAAGGGGAAUACUGGAGGAUUAUUGAGAAUCCAACUGAAGAAAUCGAGGUGCUCCAUGGGAAUAUUAUGGAAACUAGUGCAAGUGGGUUUCCACAUAAAACGAAUCCACGGGAUGUAACUGAAUGUCCACAAUAUGUGGAAUCUGGUUGGAACUUAAACAAUACCCCUAAGCUUCAAGAUUCUCUUCUACGCUUUGAAAGUUGUAACAACUCCUCUAUUUUGCUUCCCCGGCUCUCCAUCGGAAUGUGUUUUUCAUCAAAUCACUGGAGAAUUGAAGAGCAGCACUUAUAUUUGCUAUCCUACAUACAUUUUGGUGCCCCGAAAAUAUUUUAUGGGGUUCCCGGGAGUUAUCGUUGCAAGUUUGAGGAAGCUGUCAAGAAGCAUCUGCCACAGUUGUCAGUACAUCCUUGUUUGCUUCACAACCUUGCCACUCAAUUCUCGCCUUCUAUAUUGACUUCAGAGGGUAUACCUGUUUAUCGUUGUGUGCAAAAACCAAAGGAGUUUGUUCUCAUUCUCCCUGGAGCAUACCAUGCGGAUUUCGAUAGUGGAUUUAAUUGUUAUGAAGCAGUAAAUUUUGCUCCCUUUGACUGGUUACCACAUGGUCAGAUUGCUGUCGAACGGUAUUGUGAGAAGGGGAGAAAGACAUCAAUCUCCCAUGAUAAGCUGCUGUUUGAAGCAGCCACAGAAGCAAUUAGGGCUUUAGGAGAACUUGCACUGUGGAACAAGAAUUCUUUUGAUAAUUUAAAAUGGAGAGCAGUCUGUCAGAGCAAUGGGAUUUUAACAAAUGCACUUAAGACACGGGUUGCCACUGAAGUGAGAAGACGCAAAUAUGUGUGUGCUUCUCUUGAAUCGCAAAAGAUGGAGGAUGACUUUCGUGCUACGACCAAACGGGAGUGCGCUAUAUGCUUCUAUGAUCUAUACCUUUCGGCCAUUGGCUGCAAAUGUUCUCCACAUAAAUAUACUUGUCUUCUUCAUGCCAAGCAGCUUUGUGCUUGUGCUUGGAGCGAGAAGUAUUUGCUUAUACGGUAUGGAAUAGAUGAGUUGAACAUCAUGGUUGAUGCUUUGGAUGAGAAGGUAAGUGCAGUUCAUAAGUGGGCAAAAGAAAAACUUGGAUUGCCUGUGUCCGACGUCUCUAAAGAUGCCAGCAAGGAUGGAUGUACGGUACCUCCUUUUGAAAUGGUGAAGGUACCUGUGAUUUUUGAUGUGGGACUCUCUGAGAGUAUGUCUCACCGUUUAACCUCCGGACGAACAUCAUAUAUUCAACAGGAUCAGAAAAAUAAUUUGGAUCCAAUAUCUUGUUCGUCUGUUGGUUCAGAUGCAUUGACUCAUCGAUCACAAUCGAAAGAAAAUGGUCAAGAUGAGAAUAAAGUUUUAUUGCCAAAAAUAUCACAGCAUACUGCUGUUGGAGAAAAUAUUGCGACUUCUUCCAAUGCAGUUCGCAAGAAGCAUCUUGCUCGGGAGUCUUCGUCUAUUGAAAAAAAUGUGAUUAUUCUGAGUGAUGAUGAAGAUUAGCAACCCCAAGUUUACUGUAUCAUGAAUGGUAAUUUGCAUUUACGGUAUAUUCAUUCAAGGUAUCAAAUACUCUUGCUAAUAUUUGUCAGUUCUAUGGUUAAUGCAAGAGUUUGAAAGAAUCACUGGGAACGUUGUCAAACCACAUGCAGGGGAUCCAUCGAUAUUGGUGAAUCAAGUGAGUAUGUCGUAGGACGAGAAGAAGCACUUCCUUCUAUAAAUGAAUUUUAAACAAAAUCAGUGCAUAUUUUUCCUUGGAGAUCCUGCAACCACAAUGAAGAAAAAGAAAAGAUCAAACUUUUCCAUUUGAUUUCUUAAAACUUAUUUAUAAAUUUUUUUUGUCACUUAAAUUUGCCUCCCAGCCUUGUAAAACGCGUGGGUGGUAGCUGGUAGUUCUCCUAUUUGUUGGCUCGGUUUGGCAGCUUCAUAUCCAUUAUGAAAUUGUACAAAUUGGGUGAGUUUUUCUCCAACUCAUACAUCUACAAAGUUCACGGUGACUUAUUUUGAUUUUGUCAAUAGAUAGAAGUAGAAAACAUGCCAGGUUUUUCCUCUAUAUAUUUUGAUUUCUAUGCU